GUGAGGAAUUUUCCGCAAUGGGCGAAAGCCUGACGGAGCAAUGCCGCGUGAAGGAUGAAGGCCUGUGGGUUGUAAACUUCUUUUCUCAGAAAAGAAUUAUGACGGUAUCUGAGGAAUAAGCAUCGGCUAACUCUGUGCCAGCAGCCGCGGUAAGACAGAGGAUGCAAGCGUUAUCCGGAAUGAUUGGGCGUAAAGCGUCUGUAGGUUGUUUAAAAAGUAUUCUGUCAAAGAUUAGGGCUUAACCCUAGAUAGGCAGAAUAAACUUUUAAGCUAGAGUUUGGUAGAGGCAGAGGGAAUUCCCGGUGGAGCGGUGAAAUGCGUAGAUAUCGGGAGGAACACCAAAGGCGAAGGCACUCUGCUGGGCCAAUACUAACACUGAGAGACGAAAGCGAGGGGAGCAAAUGGGAUUAGAUACCCCAGUAGUCC
rnacentral:rRNA from 1 species